AGUGAACGCUGGCGGUAGGCCUAACACAUGCAAGUCGAACGGCAGCACAGUAAGAGCUUGCUCUUACGGGUGGCGAGUGGCGGACGGGUGAGGAAUACAUCGGAAUCUACUUUUUCGUGGGGGAUAACGUAGGGAAACUUACGCUAAUACCGCAUACGACCUGCGGGUGAAAGCAGGGGAUCUUCGGACCUUGCGCGAUUGAAUGAGCCGAUGUCGGAUCAGCUAGUUGGCGGGGUAAAGGCCCACCAAGGCGACGAUCCGUAGCUGGUCUGAGAGGAUGAUCAGCCACACUGGAACUGAGACACGGUCCAGACUCCUACGGGAGGCAGCAGUGGGGAAUAUUGGACAAUGGGCGCAAGCCUGAUCCGGCCAUACCGCGUGGGUGAAGAAGGCCUUCGGGUUGUAAAGCCCUUUUGUUGGGAAAGAAAAGCAGCAGGUUAAUACCCCGCUGUUCUGACGGUACCCAAAGAAUAAGCACCGGCUAACUUCGUG
rnacentral:rRNA from 1 species